rnacentral:lncRNA from 1 species
AGCUACAUCCGUCACCUGACACGGCCCUACCAGGAACAGCCGCGCUCCCGCGGAUUCUGGUGCUGCUCGCGUCCCCGCUCCCCUAUUCCCCUUAUUUUAUUCCUGGCUCCCCUCGUCGAAAGUCUUCCAUUCUUCAAACUAGAUUAUUUAAAAAUGAAAAAGGAAGAAAGGAAAGCGAGGUCAUCUCAUUGCUCUAUCCGCCAAUCAGGAGGCUGAAUGUCAGUUUUGAACUAAAAGCCGCUCCGCUCCUCUUCUAGAUUUGGAAAACAAGCGAAAUUAAACUAAACCGCUGCACGCCUCUGACGCGACAUCUGGACACGGCGCGGCGCUGGCGCUGCCGGAGCUGUCGACCCGGCCUGGCGCCGGACUAGGACUAUUUGCCACGACAUUUCAAAGGAUUCCAAGAGAGAAUAUUGGUGUCCAUGCUGUGAUGAUUCCUCAGCUCCUCUCAUCUGAUCUCCGUCCUGGCCCCCAUGACUUUCUUUGUGGUAGUUAGGGUGUGGUAUGUGCCACUGAGGCCCACACCUAUUGCUAUAUUGAGAAACCACAGAAAGAGAGAAGUUAAAUAAUUUUCCUGUCAAAGACCACAUCAAUGAUGAAGCCAGAAUUUGAGCUCAUGUACUUAACCACUGGACUACCUGCCUGCCCUGUCGAGGAACAGCUAAGUGUCCCUUUUGAUGAGAAGAAUAAGCCUCAUUCUGAUUCAACAGCAGAGAUCAAAGAAAAGACUUCUGUUUUCUGGCCACCAGAUAUAUGUUAUCUGUGCUUAAAGAAUUGAAAAACACACAUCAAAGGAGAAUUUUCUUGGAAAGAGAGGGUUCAAGCAUCACUGUUAGGUGUGCUGGAAUCCUUUCCCGAGUCAGUACUGCUUUCUAGAAGAAAACCGGGGAGAUCUAUUUGGAAUGUAUCUAACUCCAAAGAAACCAUCAGAGGUAACAGUAGAGACGGGGUUUCACCAUGUUGGCCAGACUGGUCUUGAACUCUCGACCUCGUGAUUCGCCCGCCUCGGCCUCCCAAAGUGCUGGGAUUACAGGUGUGAGACACCACACCCGGCGGAUAGAGAGAAUUUUGACAGGUGAGGAGGUAUUCCAAUGCAAAAGAAUAAUAGGAGCAAAAGCACAGUGGUGAGAAAUUGGAGGGGAACUGUGAAAAUUGCCACAUAGAUUAGAGGCAGGAAAAUAAAGGACGGCUAAGUUUAUAUAGUGAACAGUGAGCCGCAUGGACACAGGUGACUGUUUUCUCCUUUUUGAACCCCUGCUUACUCCAGAGUCACCACCUCUCCUGGCUUUCUGCCAAUCUUCUUGGCCACAGUUUCUCGGUCUUCUUUUCUGGCUUCUCUUCCUUGGCCUGAAUGCUACAUGUUAAGUGAUGUCAGCUUCAGUUUUCUUAACCUCUCUUCUCUUAAGUUGCUAUCAUUUAAAUAUCUUUAAAUAUCAUCUACAUCCAAGUGACCUCUAAACCAGUAAUUUUACCCAUGACCCAUCUCCUCAACUCCGGAUUGUAUAUAAAACUGUCUACUCAACAUCUUCACUUUUGAUGUCUAAAUCUCUAUGUCCAAUUUAGAAUUCUUGAUUCUUUGCUUUCCCUCCCUCCUGGAAAUCCUGCUCUUACCAGUCUUCCCCAUCUUAAUUAAUGAACCUGACAUUCACCUAGUAGCUUAGUCCUCAAAACUAGGGAUUAAUCUAGAUUUAGUCAUUUUUCUUACUCUUGCCAUAUAAUAACAUAUUAUUCUGAGUUUACCUUUACCCGACCCCAAAUAGGUAACUGCUGUUUUUGUUAUAAGAUAGUAAUAUUUGCCUCUGAGUGUAUGUGAAUUAUUUUGAUAAAAAUAAAUAUUAUUUUUAAAAUAUUAA